AAUUGUACAAGCCCAAGGCCCUCAACUAUAGAAGUAAAAAGUAAGUUUUUAGAUAUGUGGGACAAGCUGACCCAUCAUUUAGACGAAACAGACCAGAAAAGAAAACAAAAUGCAGAAACCAGACUAAAUUAUGGGCACUGCUCCAUGGGCCACCUGGCAGGAAAAAGAAAAAGUCCCUGACCCCCCGGAAGCCCUGACCACCAUGUACUUUUUGCUAACUCACUGUUAUGAUUAUAGCCAAAAUAGGUAACAUACACGUAUGCCUCAUUUACUCCACCAAUCACAUCCCUGUAACCAUGCAUCUGCUUCUGUAAGCCUGCUUCUGCUCCCCAAUGCCUUAUAAAAACCAGUCCCUGGUUCUGCUAGGCGCGCCAGUCUUUCAAAUUGACUGGGACGCCCACAGAUAUCUGUGUAUCCUGAUCAAUAAAAAUCCUCUUGCAGAUUGCAGCCUGUGGACUCGGACUGGUCAUUGGGGCUUGAGGAUCUCCCUCCUGAGGGAAGAUUCUCUCUGAGAGUCUUACAUAUGGGGGCUCGUCCGGGAUCGGAGAUCCUCUGCCUAGAGACCACCGACCACCCACCGGGAGGCUAAAAGACCUACAGGUGAUACAGAAAGAAAUCUGCUCACAGCUGACAGCAGCCUAUGCCCUGGGGACCCCUGAGACAUGUCAUCAGUUCCAGGUUAGAGACUACAGCUACACUGAGCCCAGACACUCGAGCCUCGCUGGAAAGGACCGUACCUGGUGCUGCUGACCACCCAUCACUUGAUGCUGACAGCCAUCAAGUCUCAGCCCUCACCAGCAGCGUACUAGCUGUUGGGGCUGAGAGCUGGGACCUAGAGGGACACUCAGAUCUUCAAAAACCUCCCUAGACUUAAGUGAUUGGGAGGUUGCUAUAAUGCUCAUUUGAGGAGUGUGUUUUAGAAACAAGAAUUUCAUGUUUGCCUGUUUGCCCUGGGUUCCCACGGAAUAGGUGUAAGGAUAGGCUUGAUUUUUAUUGCAAAUGAUGUAAUAUUACAUAUGUUAGUACUCCUAACACUUCUUGGGACUGUACCUCAGGGAUCACAAUCUGUAUAAGUUUAGAAGUUCUAAAAGACCUUGGUGUAUAGGUUCAGAUAGUGUCCAGAUUAGAAUCCUCAUGCUAAAGACUUAAUAAGACACAAAAGAUGAGAAUUAUUUAAGGCUAUCUAGGUGCUACAAGGGCAGCACAAGGACAUCUGCUGUUGCCCUACAAUGCAAGGCUUAUAGAGAAUUCAGAACUGCCAUUGACUCAGAUAUAAAAAAAAAUAAAAAAGACUUUUUAGCUGACCUCCAAGAACACCUAACCUCCCUCUCAGAGGUAGUCCUUCAAAAUAGGAAAAGAUUAGACCUGAUAUUCCUUAAAGAAAGAGUCUGUGUGCUACACUAAAAGAAGAAUGUUGUUUCUAUACAGAUCAGACAGGAAUAAUAAGAGAUAUAGUCUUUCAGUUAUUCAAACUUUUGUGCUGAGACAACAGUAUCAGAUGGUGAAACAACAAAAAACAGAGGUACCUUAACCAAGUUGAGUGGAAGAUUCCACUCAAGGACAAAAAAGAAAAUGGGGGAAUGAAAGACCCCCUCCCAGAAAGGGAAUUGUACAAGCCCAAGGCCCUCAACUAUAGAAGUAAAAAGUAAGUUUUUAGAUAUGUGGGACAAGCUGACCCAUCAUUUAGACGAAACAGACCAGAAAAGAAAACAAAAUGCAGAAACCAGACUAAAUUAUGGGCACUGCUCCAUGGGCCACCUGGCAGGAAAAAGAAAAAGUCCCUGACCCCCCGGAAGCCCUGACCACCAUGUACUUUUUGCUAACUCACUGUUAUGAUUAUAGCCAAAAUAGGUAACAUACACGUAUGCCUCAUUUACUCCACCAAUCACAUCCCUGUAACCAUGCAUCUGCUUCUGUAAGCCUGCUUCUGCUCCCCAAUGCCUUAUAAAAACCCGUCCCUGGUUCUGCUAGGCGCGCCAGUCUUUCAAAUUGACUGGGACGCCCACAGAUAUCUGUGUAUCCUGAUCAAUAAAAAUCCUCUUGCAGAUUGCAG